UGGUAGUCUAUUCUGUUCCUGAGAGAUUGUGAAUGUUAUCCAACUGAUCACGCUGUCUUGCCCCUUGUGAAAACACUGUUGUGAAUCCUUCUCUGAGAUUUUCUCCACCCCAGUUUCAGUUAACGUCUGGAGACAACAGAAAAGGGGGUACACAUUGCAUGUCAGCAAAAGAAGUCUACUUGUCAACAGAUUCCCUAUUUCCUUUGAUGUGGUGCUUUGUCCAUUCAGAAAAUUCCCUGUAAAUGAAGAUCCAAUCACUGUUGCAUAAAUCAUCUGUUUCUAGGGAAAUGAACUCCACUGGUGAUUAAUUUCAUUGUACUGUGAAAUCAGAAAAACAGCCCACAGUUUAUCUACGCCAUCUGCUUUUGGUGAAAACCCCCUAAAUUCUGUAAGGAAAUAUGUCAUGACAGAUUGAGGAAAUAGACAACAAUUAGAAAUUUGUUUACGAAUGAAUAACGUGUCUUUGAGUUCUACCAACUAGUUUCUUCUGCUUUAUUCAGACUUCAGUUUUGUCCGGCACAAUAGUCUUGCUGAGCCUUCAUCUAAUUAGAAAUUCAAUAUUUGUUUAGCAAAGGCUGAUGUAAUUUUUUUCUAAGCUUUUUGAAUUGAACUUUCAGACUCAUUUCAGAAUAUCAGGAUCAUGAAUUAGGAUAUUCAUUCUCUUUCCUAGUGUCUCCCAGUUAAUGGAACAGAUACAUAUGUCUUUGCAAACAUGGCAAAUGUUACAAAUAUACAGUGAACAAAAUGUCCGUAAUAAAUAACAUCAGUAAGUUUUAAAGAAAGCUGCAGCCAUAAUUGACAAUUAUAAAGCAAUAAAAUGUUAUAGUACAUUUUUAUCUCAUUGUAAAACUAGAAACCAAUGCAAAAAGGACAAAAUGUGUGAUUUUUUUUUCCCCUCCUUUUUGCAUUGUGGGGGAGUGGAUAGGACUCAAGUCCAAGGUGCUAAGAUUGCAGUUUUAGCCUUAUGCCAAGUAACAUGGGUAAAAUACCCUGUUGUGCAAAUAAAUUGAAACAGAUUAAAAAAUGCCUGUGUAAU